UACGAAGGGUGCAAGCGUUACUCGGAAUUACUGGGCGUAAAGCGUGCGUAGGUGGUUUGUUAAGUCUGAUGUGAAAGCCCUGGGCUCAACCUGGGAAUUGCAUUGGAUACUGGCAGGCUAGAGUGCGGUAGAGGAUGGCGGAAUUCCCGGUGUAGCAGUGAAAUGCGUAGAGAUCGGGAGGAACAUCUGUGGCGAAGGCGGGUCUCUGGGCCGAUACUGACGCUGAGGAGCGAAAGCGUGGGUAGCGAACAGG
rnacentral:rRNA from 1 species